UUCGGAUCUUUGCCUUCAGGACUUUUUCUGACAAAGGACAUAGUCGCCAUGAUAGCGUUUGUACUACUUGUUUCCGUUGCGCUCUGCAGUGCUGAUUACGACAAGAAAAAUGUCUAUCAUCCAGGAGGAGGAGUCUAUCCACCUGUCGGCGGAGUUUAUCCACCUGUAGGAGGAGGAGGAGGCGGAGUUUAUCCACCAUUUGUAAACAAACCUGGUACCUGUCAAAUUUUGUCAACACAGGAGACUUGGGUAGGCCAUGUUAUUCCGAU